rnacentral:miRNA from 1 species
UUGAGCAACGAAUAUGUGCGGGA